GAUGAACGCUGGCGGCGUGCCUAAUACAUGCAAGUCGAGCGAACGGACAAGAAGCUUGCUUCUCUGAGGUUAGCGGCGGACGGAUGAGUAACACGUGGAUAACCUACUUAUAAGACUGGGAUAACUUCGGGAAACCGGAGCUAAUACCGGAUGAUAUUUUGAACGGCAUGGUUCAAAAGUGAAAGAGGGUUUUGCUGUCACUUAUAGAUGGAGCCGCGUUGGAUUAGCUAGUUGGUAAGGUAACGGCUCACCAAGGCAACGAUGCGUAGCCGACCUGAGAGGAUGAUCAGCCACACUGGAACUGAGACACGGUCCAGACUCCUACGGGAGGCAGCAGUAGGGAAUAUUCGACAAUGGGCGAAAGCCUGAUCGAGCCAUACCGCGUGGGUGAUGAAGGUCUUCGGAUCGUAAAGCUCUUUUGUUGGGAAAGAAAAUCUGCGUAAUUAUCCCCCGCCGUUCUGACGGUACCCAAAGAGUAAGCCCCGGCUAACUUCGUG
rnacentral:rRNA from 1 species